UACAGAGGGGGCAAGCGUUAUUCGGAAUUAUUGGGCGUGAAGGGCGCGUAGGCGGCCAUUCAAGUGACAGGUGAAAGCCCUCGGCUUAACCGAGGAACUGCCUGUCAGACUGGAUGGCUUGAGACCGGGAGAGGUGAGUGGAAUUCCCAGUGUAGCGGUGAAAUGCGUAGAUAUUGGGAGGAACACCAGUGGCGAAGGCGGCUCACUGGACCGGAACUGACGCUGAGGCGCGAAAGCGUGGGGAGCAAACAGG
rnacentral:rRNA from 1 species